rnacentral:rRNA from 1 species
UACGGAGGGUGCAAGCGUUAUCCGGAUUCACUGGGUUUAAAGGGUGCGUAGGUGGCGCUGUAAGUCGGGUGUGAAAUUUCGGAGCUUAACUCCGAAACUGCAUUUGAUACUGCGGUGCUCGAGGACUGGAGAGGAGACUGGAAUUUACGGUGUAGCAGUGAAAUGCGUAGAGAUCGUAAGGAAGACCAGUGGCGAAGGCGGGUCUCUGGACAGUUCCUGACACUGAGGCACGAAGGCCAGGGGAGCAAACGGG